UCUCAAAGGGGUUUCUGUGAUCCAACCCAUUAUAGGACUAACAGUCCAUAAAUCUAUACUUUACAGCCGAAAUGCCAGUCACAGAGGGAGGGUUUUGUCCGACUGACUGCCUCAGCUCUGGUGCGGUGGACGACCCGGACGUUCUACUGUGCCUGGUGAUAUGUACAGGAGGAACACAGAUCAAAUCGACUGCUGGACCAGAAUCCCUCAAUCUCAGAUAAGUAGUGAAAAAGGGCGCCAAAAGUCGAACAAGAAGGAAGACCAACAUGGCUCCCAAACAACUUUACAGAAUUCGAAAUGGUGCAUGGUGGAAGUUCAGAGAAUUCUGAGGGUACUGUUACAGAAUUUCUGCAUGCUUUAUACAGGAUGUAGUUACUGGAAUACAAAAACAUUGAGUGCUGGCUGAUCUCUUCAAAGUAAACCUGAAAUAUGCCAAAAGUCAGACUAUUCUGGUAAAAUGUCUAGAAGAUACCACUACAAAGAAGUGGUUGCAA